rnacentral:rRNA from 1 species
UGCAAGUCGAACGGUAACACUUGGUGCUUGCACCAGAUGACGAGUGGCGCACGGGUGCGUAACGCGUAUGCAAUCUACCUUUUACUGAAGAAUAGCCCAGAGAAAUUUGGAAUAAUCCUUCAUAAUAUCAUUUAUCAGCAUUGAUUUAUGAUUAAAGCUCCGGCGGUAAAAGAUGAGCAUGCGUCCUAUUAGUUUGUUGGUGAGGUAACGGCCCACCAAGACUACGAUAGGUAGGGGCCCUGAGAGGGGGAUCCCCCACACUGGUACUGAGACGCGGACCAGACUCCUACGGGAGGCAGCAGUGAGGAAUAUUGGACAAUGGAGGCAACUCUGAUCCAGCCAUGCCGCGUGCAGGAUGACUGCCCUAUGGGUUGUAGACUGCUUUUAUAUAGGAAGAAACACUCCCACGUGUGGGGGCUUGACGGUACUAUAUGAAUAAGGAUCGGCUAACUCCGUGCCAGCAGCCGCGGUAAUACGGAGGAUCCAAGCGUUAUCCGGAAUCAUUGGGUUUAAAGGGUCCGCAGGCGGCCUGUUAAGUCAGAGGUGAAAGCCAACAGCUCAACUGUUGAAUUGCCUUUGAUACUGAUAGGCUUGAGUUAUUGUGAAGUGGUUAGAAUGUGUGGUGUAGCGGUGAAAUGCUUAGAUAUCACACAGAAUACCCAUUGCGAAGGCAGAUCACUAACAAUAUACUGACGCUCAUGGACGAAAGCGUGGGGAGCGAACGGGAUUAGAUACCCCGGUAGUCCACGCCGUAAACGAUGGAUACUAACUGUU